UACGGGGGGAGCAAGCGUUGUCCGGAUUUACUGGGCGUAAAGAGCGCGCAGGCGGUCGUUCAAGUCGCGUGUGAAAGCCCCCGGCUCAACUGGGGAGGGUCACGCGAUACUGAUCGACUCGAAGGCAGGAGAGGGAAGUGGAAUUCCCGGUGUAGUGGUGAAAUGCGUAGAUAUCAGGAGGAACACCGGUGGCGAAGGCGGGUCUCUGGGCAGUAACUGACGCUGAGGAGCGAAAGCGUGGGGAGCGAACAGG
rnacentral:rRNA from 1 species